GGUCAAGCUACUAAGGGCGUACGGUGGAUGCCUAGGCGCUAAGAGUCGAUGAAGGGCGCGGUUAACAGCGAAAUGCCACGGGGAGUCGUAAGCAGGCUUUGAUCCGUGGAUACCCGAAUGGGGCAACCCAACCGGAGUCAUAUCUGGUUAUCGUUAACUGAAUACAUAGGUUAACGAAGGCAACCCGGGGAACUGAAACAUCUAAGUACCCGGAGGAAGAGAAAGAAUAAUCGAUUCCCUGAGUAGCGGCGAGCGAAACGGGAAGAGCCCAAACCGUACUCGAGAUUCGAGGUUCGAAAUUCGAGGUACGAGUAAAGUCAUUCUAUAGGGUCAUAAAGACCCCUAAGAAUAGCUUAGUUCGAAUCUCGAACAUCGUAUUUCGAAUCUCGAGUAUGGGGUUGUAGGACCCUCUAUUAAGAAUGAUUCCUU
rnacentral:ncRNA from 1 species